UACGGAGGGUGCAAGCGUUGUCCGGAAUCACUGGGCGUAAAGGGCGCGUAGGCGGCUCAUGAAGGCUGUGGUGAAAGUCCGGGGCUCAACCUCGGAUCGGCCGUGGCGACUCGUGGGCUGGAGCACUGUAGAGGCGGGUGGAAUUCCGGGUGUAGCGGUGGAAUGCGUAGAGAUCCGGAAGAACACCAGUGGCGAAGGCGGCUCACUGGACUGGUAUUGACGCUGAGGUGCGAAAGCGUGGGGAGCAAACAGGG
rnacentral:rRNA from 1 species